CCCAACUUUCCUUUUGUGGUUAUAAACCUUGUGUUAAAAUUUCAUAGAUUUCUAUUCACUUUUACUAAAGUUAGAGUGCGAAAACUAAAAGUAUUCGGACGACGACGACGCAAGACGACGCAGGACGACGACGACGCCAACGUGAUAGCAAUAUACGACGAAAAAUUAAAAUUUUUGCGGUCGUAUAAAAAGAGCUGUAUGAAAUGAA
rnacentral:lncRNA from 1 species